rnacentral:rRNA from 1 species
CCUACGGGAGGCAGCAGUAAGGAAUAUUGGUCAAUGGACGAAAGUCUGAACCAGCCAUGCCGCGUGAAGGAUUAAGGUCCUCUGGAUUGUAAACUUCUUUUAUAGGGGACGAAAAAAGGGCAUUCUUGCUCUCUUGACGGUACCCUGUGAAUAAGCACCGGCUAACUCCGUGCCAGCAGCCGCGGUAAUACGGAGGGUGCAAGCGUUAUCCGGAUUCACUGGGUUUAAAGGGUGCGUAGGCGGGUAGGUAAGUCAGUGGUGAAAUCUCGGAGCUUAACUCCGAAACUGCCAUUGAUACUAUCUAUCUUGAAUAUUGUGGAGGUUUGCGGAAUAUGUCAUGUAGCGGUGAAAUGCAUAGAUAUGACAUAGAACACCUAUUGCGAAGGCAGCAGGCUACACAUAUAUUGACGCUGAGGCACGAAAGCGUGGGGAUCAAACAGGAUUAGAUACCCUGGUAGUCCACGCCCUAAACGAUGAUUACUCGACAUACGUGAUACACUAUGUGUGUCUGAGCGAAAGCAUUAAGUAAUCCACCUGGGAAGUACGUCCGCAAGGAUGAAACUCAAAGGAAUUAGACGG